AAAGAUUUAGUUAAAUAAUAACAUUAGAGUGUCAUACUAAAAUUAUCUAUUGAUAAUCUUUU
rnacentral:tRNA from 1 species